rnacentral:tRNA from 1 species
CUUCCUGUAGCUCAGUUGGUUAGAGCGUUGCACCGGAAUUGCAGAGCCACAGCUUCGAUUCCUGCCAGAGUGC